GGGCCUGUAGCUCAGUUGGUUAGAGCCGGCGGCUCAUAACCGCUUGGUCGCAGGUUCGAGUCCUGCCGGGCCCACCA
rnacentral:tRNA from 2 species